rnacentral:tRNA from 1 species
AUCUUUAUAGUUUACUAUAAAAUAUUACACUGAAAAUGUAAAGAAAAAAUUUUUAAAGAUA